AGUGGGGAAUAUUGGACAAUGGGCGAAAGCCUGAUCCAGCCAUGCCGCGUGAACGAUGAAGGCCUUAGGGUUGUAAAGUUCUUUUGUCAGGGAAGAUAAUGACGGUACCUGAAGAAUAAGCACCGGCUAACUUCGUGCCAGCAGCCGCGGUAAUACGAAGGGUGCUAGCGUUGUUCGGAAUCACUGGGCGUAAAGCGCGCGUAGGCGGCGAUCCAAGUCAGGGGUGAAAGCCUGGAGCUCAACUCCAGAACUGCCUUUGAAACUGGAUUGCUAGAGUGUCGGAGGGGAUAGCGGAAUUGCUAAUGUAGAGGUGAAAUUCGUAGAUAUUAGCAGGAACACCGGUGGCGAAGGCGGCUAUCUGGACGACAACUGACGCUGAGGCGCGAAAGCGUGGGGAUCAAA
rnacentral:rRNA from 1 species